GUGGCGAACGGGUGAGUAACACGUGAGUAACCUGCCCCUGACUCUGGGAUAAGCGUUGGAAACGACGUCUAAUACUGGAUAUGAUUACCGGCCGCAUGGUCUGGUGGUGGAAAGAUUUUUUGGUUGGGGAUGGACUCGCGGCCUAUCAGCUUGUUGGUGAGGUAAUGGCUCACCAAGGCGACGACGGGUAGCCGGCCUGAGAGGGUGACCGGCCACACUGGGACUGAGACACGGCCCAGACUCCUACGGGAGGCAGCAGUGGGGAAUAUUGCACAAUGGGCGAAAGCCUGAUGCAGCAACGCCGCGUGAGGGAUGACGGCCUUCGGGUUGUAAACCUCUUUUAGUAGGGAAGAAGGGAGCUUGCUCUUGACGGUACCUGCAGAAAAAGCACCGGCUAACUACGUGCCAGCAGCCGCGGUAAUACGUAGGGUGCAAGCGUUGUCCGGAAUUAUUGGGCGUAAAGAGCUCGUAGGCGGUUUGUCGCGUCUGCUGUGAAAUCCCGAGGCUCAACCUCGGGCUUGCAGUGGGUACGGGCAGACUAGAGUGCGGUAGGGGAGAUUGGAAUUCCUGGUGUAGCGGUGGAAUGCGCAGAUAUCAGGAGGAACACCGAUGGCGAAGGCAGAUCUCUGGGCCGUAACUGACGCUGAGGAGCGAAAGCAUGGGGAGCGAACAGGAUUAGAUACCCUGGUAGUCCAUGCCGUAAACGUUGGGCGCUAGAUGUAGGG
rnacentral:rRNA from 1 species